CAGAGACUGGAGCAGAGACAAGUUGUUCCCACUGAGCUCUCCUCAGAUUACAGAUUGGUCUGAUUAUAAAAGGAGAAUUGGAGGCUUACCAAACAUCUGAAGAGCUUUCCAGAAGUUUGGUCACUUCUGAAUUAGAGAAGUUAAAACCCAAUCACCUACUAAUGCUGUGGGAAAGUUCUGCAGGUGAUACAUCACAGGGGCUCAUGAAUGUGUCUUAAGCUGGGUCAUUGAAGUGGAAUGUUUUCACAAGACCUCCUCCACUUGCUACUGUGUCCGGAAUUGGUGGGUUCUUGGUCUCACUGACUUCAAGAAUGAAGCCGCGGACCCUCGCGGGAGUGGCAAAUCAAAGGCAUUGCAGCCUCUUUCAUCACUGCCGAUUGCUGAUGCCAACCAUGUGCCAAGUGCUUAAUACGUCACCUUAAAUCUUCUCAUCCACCCUCAGAGUAGCUGCAGCAUCAACCCAGUGCCCUGACUUUCAAGACGACUAUGAAAACACCCCAACUGCUGCUAAAUUACCAGCAACAAGGAUCUGACAUUCUUAUUCAAAAGAAAGAACACCGAAAUUGACCUUACCCUGACAAUAUGAUGGCUGAAGGAUUUAUGAUCACUUAUAACAUUUGAAAUUGAGGCGGAACCUGAAGAAUAAGACUCUGGUGAAAGGUCCUAUUUAUGCUUUUGAUGUCUUUCACUUGGACAUUUACCACAUGCCUAUUGGUAGGUUUGUUACAUAGGUCAGUUAAGGUGAUACAAGAAUAAAUAAAACACUAUCCCUAUCCUUUAAUAUCAUUUAUUUAUGGGGUCAAUCACAGAUUUUCAUUUUUCAAAAUCUUUGAUAAAUGUCAGAAUUAUGUUUUUUAAUAUUUUUACAGAAUUAUUACAAUAUAUGGUAGAGGAUGGAAGGCAAGGUAGUAUGAAACGGAAAAGAUAUUUUGAAUUAAGGUAUUUGGACCUGGAUUAAUAUUUUUGCUUUGGUCUUUAUUAGCUGAGUGACCUUGAGAAAGUUCUUCUACUAAAAAAGAACAAAGAUAAUAAUUACUUCAUGAAAUUGCUGUAAAAAACACAUAACAAGUAUAUCCAGACUCAACAGUGUAUGCUCAAAAAUGCAGAUCCUUUUUCCCUUACCUGCAAAUAAAGUCUUACAGUAAUACAGUGGGGGUAAAGGUUUAAACUGGUGGAUUCAAGAAGGGCUAUAGAAAGAGGUAGCAUCUUAAUAGGGGAAGGAGAGGAUCCAAGAAAUCAGAUCCAUUUUCUACAAAAAGAAAUGGGAAGACAGAUAAUUCAAGAAGAAAAGUUUACAUGAUUAAAGACCCGAAGUUAGAAAUAGUGAUGUGUCUCAAUAGUAAGUUAGGAAUUGGGGUGGACACAAUUGUUGGAAGAAGGAUGGUUUCAGCAAAGGCCCAAGUUAGGUGACAAUUUCAAGUGUUUGUGAAGAUAUAUGAACAAAAUUAUAAAGUAGUUAGGGUAUAAGAAAUAGGGAGGAGGGAAUGAAUUAACAUUUAUGGAGUGUCUUGCAUGUUCCAAGCACUGUACUACUUGCCUUAUAAACCUUUCUUCAAUAAACGCCUACAACA
rnacentral:lncRNA from 1 species